rnacentral:rRNA from 1 species
UACGUAGGGUGCGAGCGUUAAUCGGAAUUACUGGGCGUAAAGCGUGCGCAGGCGGCGCGUUAAGACAGAUGUGAAAUCCCCGGGCUUAACCUGGGAACUGCAUUUGUGACUGCACGGCUGGAGUGCGGCAGAGGGGGAUGGAAUUCCGCGUGUAGCAGUGAAAUGCGUAGAUAUCAGGAGGAACACCGGUGGCGAAGGCGGAUCUCUGGGCCUUGCCUGACGCUGAGGCGCGAAAGCUAGGGGAGCGAACAGG